GGUGCCCGGCGUCCCUCGAGCCCGUGCGUCCUUCUCCCAGGCACCAUGGCGUUGGCGACGAAUCAUGUGUGAACGUAGAGCAGCAGUAAACGCUGGAUGCGAGCUCGUGCACUUGCUUGAGGGCGAGUUCGGCCAGCGCAUAUGACCCCAAGGUCCUCCGUGUGAACUGUUCCAGGAAACUACUGUGUGCUGAUUCUUUAUUGAUACUCAUGAAGCAGCUGCCGGCCAAGCAGGGAUAUUUGUGUUGUGACGGAUUACUCCGGGAAGAAAAAGAGGACAAAGAUAUUCUAUGGAGAAGUUGCAUUCGACGAGGGUUCUGAUCAGAUGCACGAGGGCUUGGUUGCAGCGGACAUUUAAUUUUGUUUACUGGAAAAUUGCCAUGAGGAAUUAUUCACAACCUCCCGA